rnacentral:rRNA from 1 species
CACGUAGGGGGCAAGCGUUGUCCGGAAUCAUUGGGCGUAAAGCGCGCGUAGGUGGCCCGGUAAGUCCGCUCUGAAAGUCAAAGGCUCAACCUUUGAAAGCGGGUGGAUACUGUCGGGCUAGAGUCCGGAAGAGGCGAGUGGAAUUCCUGGUGUAGCGGUGGAAUGCGCAGAUAUCAGGAGGAACACCAACGGCGAAGGCAGCUCGCUGGGACGGUACUGACACUAAGGCGCGAAAGCGUGGGGAGCGAACAGG